rnacentral:rRNA from 1 species
GACGUAGGGCGCGAGCGUUUGUCCGGAUUUAUUGGGCGUAAAGAGCUCGUAGGUGGUUUGUCGCGUUGUCCGUGAAAACUCACAACUCAAUUGUGGGCGUGCGGGCGAUACGGGCAGACUGGAGUACUGCAGGGGAGACUGGAAUUCCUGGUGUAGCGGUGGAAUGCGCAGAUAUCAGGAGGAACACCGGUGGCGAAGGCGGGUCUCUGGGCGAGCUGAACGUGA